CAAGGUGCUGGGAUUACAGGCUUGAGCCACAGCACCUGGCCUGAUAUCUGCAAGCUCCUAUAGGGCAGGAACUGGAUUCCAUAUACAUUUGCUCUGUAAAAAAACACUCUUUUUGACAGGACAUCAUGGCUCAUGCCUAUAAUCCCAGCACUUUGGGAAUCUGAGGCAGGAGGAUAGCUUGAGCCCAGGAGUUUGAGACCAGCCUUGACAACAUGGCGAAACCCCAUCUCUACUAAAAAUACAAAAAUUAGCCAGGCGUGUUGGUGCACACCUGUAAUCUCAGCUAUUCAGGAGGCUGAGACAUGAGUCUCACUUGAACCUGGGAGGUGGAGGUUGCAGUGAGCCAAGAUUGUGCCACUGCACUCCAGCCUGGGCCACACAGCAAGACUCUGUCUCGGAAAAAACAAACAAACAUCCCACUCUUUUCUCCCCAGUACAGGCUAACAUAAAAUAUCUAUUGAAUUCAAUCGAAUUCCUUCCCUCUCCCUCUCUUCUCAAUUCUUCUUGUUUCUUUUUCCUUUCCCUCUCCAUCUCUUUCUCCUUUUUGAUUCCCUAGGUUUGUCCCAGGUCGGCUAGUGUUCUUUUAGCUCAUUUUUGCCCCUUGCUUUGCUCCCUCUGCUUGGCUCGCCAAGGCUGAAGGUGUGGCUGGACCCUGACUCUGGGUCUCUUCUCAGCCCAAGAGCUUCUCCUUGCUCAGGGAACUUUUGAGCACCAUGGCAAUAGGAAAGGCUGUGUCAGAGCAAUGUAGAUGCAUUCUACACAGUCUCCCUUCAGGCUCUCCAUCCCCAAAGACUGUUGGCUUCACAAAGGGAGUGUUGUCAGGAAGCAUGGGACUCUCAGACAUCUGCAUCACACAUUUUUUUUCUCUCCCAUUCACUCUCCACCCACCACCAACCCCCUUGAAUUCUCCAGACUGAUUAUUGUGGUAAAAUAUCACACAUUUUCUCAAUCUGUAUGCAAACCAGGUAGGAUUGACAGCUGAAGAAAGCUGCACGUUGCCUGGGCUUAAAGUUAUCUGUUUUCCCUCUGAGGGAAAAUCUUUGAGCUCUGUGACAGUGCCUUGAAGCCAUGGCCCUUGUCCUAGACUGCCCUGGCCCAGGCAAGCGCCUGACCCCUACUAAUGUAUAGGACCUUUAGCAGCAGAGAGUGGGGGAGGAGGUAAACAGAACCCCCUGCAUGCCAGCGAUUCAUGUUCUCUGAAGGGACCAGAAUGUUAUUAGAAACCUUGCCUGCCAAAUGCUAGGCAAAUGUAACCAAUUUAUUAAUGCAGGGAAUCCAAUAUGUGAAAUUGGACCAAAAGGAGAGAGGCCAGCCACCCUCUCUCCACACUUCCUGAUCUCUAACAGGGGUGGAAGGAGGGUGAUGUACAAAGAGUUAUGUCUUCUGCAAGAGGACGUUGCUGUCCUAAUCACAUGUGAUAGUGACGACAGAUAUUCCUGACUGGAGCUUCAAAGGGCUGGGAGAUAAUUGUAUCCACUAUCCCCGGCUGGCUGUGAGGCUCAGCCUGCAGCUUGCAGGUUGUAAAGCACACUGGGUAGGAAGAUCGGGAGCUUGGUCUCCUCUGUCCCAGUUCUGCAGCUCUGCAAUAGAGACCAGGUGAAAAUGGACGAGUAAGAAUAUCUCUCAGUGCCUGCAAUGCUGACAUCAUAUGCUGGUCACUUAAGCUCUUUCCUGCAAAGGGUCUUAGAUUGGUCUCAAUGUUGCAUGGGUGUUUGCAGCUUCUCUCCAGCAAAGGAGAGGGUUCCUUCAGGGCAGAAUGCAUUUUGAUAUGCCUCAUUGUCAUUGAUUUGCCCUCUAACAGGUGAUUGAGUUGAAAAAGAUGUUGGCAGCAACAUUUAUUAAAGGAUUAUUUUAUUUAUAUAUAUAUAUAUAUAUAUAGUUAUUACACAUUACCUCAUUUAAUCCCCACACCAAUACUUUAUGAGGUAGAUAUUGUUAUUCUCAAUUUUCACUUAAAGAAAUUGAACUCAGAAAGUUGACCAACUUGCCCAAGAUUAUAGGUAUAAGUGGACAAGAUUUGAGCCCAUGUCUGUUUAACCAUGUUCUUCACCACCUGGGUUUAAGGAGUAGAAACCCCCAAAAUUUGUGGAUAAUCUGGUAGACUUGUCAAGAAGCAAAUGUGGGGAAUUUUCUGGCUAAGGAUGCACUGGGAAGUCUUUUAUUUUGGAUUUCUAAGUUUCAAAGAAUUGGUAUACAGUGAAAACAAUGGACACACUUUACAGAGCAAAAAUAAUCUUUAUCAUGAUUCAGGUAAAUUUUAGAAUCUUAGAAGGUAUCAGGCUCAUUUGAGUGGGCAUCAGUGUCAUUGUACAAGACCAUGUGGGGGAGAGAUAAAGAUCUGGUUGCUUUAGAUUCUUAGCUAUUUAGAUUCUAGAUGAAUGUCAUCUAUUUUGUAAUGUGUCAUUGUGUGUCAUCUCUCAACACUAAAGGCAAGAUGGUAGUCCGAUUAGUAAAUUUUGAAUUACAUGGGAACAGAUUUUGAAGACAGAAAAUAAAUCAAAGAUUUAAAAAAAGGAAAAGAGAAUCAAAAAUUUUUUUAAAAGAAUAAAAAUAACGAAAAAUGAACACAUAAAAAAGAAAGAAAAGAAUUUUAAAAAUUGAACUAGUCUCAGAAAUAAUACUUUUAUAAUGUUACCAACACUUGUUAACUGAAGAUAGUAUUUUUAGUUGAUUAUGAAUAUGACUGAAGAUGUUGGUGAAGUCCCCGUGCCCAAAUGCUGUGAAAUUCAUAAGUUCAUUUCUUCUGGAAAUGUACCCGAUGCGUUACAGUGUCGUAUAUGGAUUGGCAUGAUGUGAUGUGCCUGAGGAAGGGCAGAGCUACCUUCCAUUCUCUGGGUGCCUUCCCUCCUCCUGCACUUUUCAGUGAUGGUUUCAGGUUCCUGAAGGCUACCGUGUGCCACAAGGCAGGAGCUGCCAUCUCUCCAUUUGGAGAGGAGGAGGGUCAAUUCAGCAUCACUGAGAUGGGGAAGAAAAGUUCAGACUUUAUUUUGAAUUAAAAUCCAGCCCAACUCUUCUUGCUUGUUUUGGUAUCUAGAAGAGCUUUCCCUAUUCUCUCCUUCUUCUCCUAUAAGCUGUUCACUUCCUUCGCCAAAUUCUCUGAGGAGAAUAAAUCAUUCAGUAAAUAAUAAUCUGUAAGGCAAUAAAGUUAUGUAUUUACUUAAAAACAAUUUCUUAAUGUCUGAAAAGGCAAAAUAAUCUUGUUGUCCCCACAAUAUAACAGCAGUGAAAGACCUCUUAGGACUUGGAAAUUGGUGUGUCUCUGAGAGGUCAAUUAGUAAAAUUCACACUCAAUGCAGCAAAGUCAUCUAGCAUAAGAAUGACAACUCCAAAAAUAAUAAUGGUAGCAAUAAAAAUGCAAAGGAAUAAGUCAUGCUACGUAAGUGUGAAUCCAAUCAAAAGUUGAGAUGGGAAUCCUCCAAGAAGAUAUGACUGAAAUGUAAGUGUAUUUUAGUAUGAGGAAAUAGAAAGAAAUAUGUUCUAUUCUAUCUGGAGAAUGACCAUAAACAGAGGUUGGCCCCAAAGGGGAAAAAGGAAGAUCUGAAGAAUGCUGAUCUUGAUUUGUUUAGAGGUGAAGAUGCCAUUUUUAAAUGGCUUGGAGAAUUGAAGUUUUCUUGGUGAAAGUUUACCCGUAGUAAAACUUCACGGUUCAGCAGCUGGUAGAUCAAGUCUGGUCCACACUGCAUUGAGUCAUACUGUUUUUUAAAGUUGAAUAAGUUGUUAACUAAUUUCACAUAGAAAAAUCCAUAUAUCGAGCCUUUCAUGAAAAAUUGGGAAAACCUAGAUUAACCAGGCUGGCCACAAUGGGCUGUAGCUAUGACGCCAUGGCUGCCUCCUUUAGAAGGGCAUGCACUCUCCAGUUGGCAUAGUCCCCACUAUUCCCUAUCAUCGCCUGCUCCCUGACACGCUUCACUCAUCUAUGUUACACUCUUCUGAAUCUGUUGGAUUUUGAAUGUGUGACUCCCUAAUGGGUAAGCAUGCCUUCAGCUACUUGAGCUGAAAUUCACUUCUUGACACCCUGAACUCUCCUUGUUCUGAUUCCAUGCUCAGCAUCUCCAUAUCCAUCCAACCAAUCAACAAACUUGAGCUUCUCUAGAGAUCGUGGACAUCUCAAAUGAAUAGAAAGCAAUUGAUAGAAACACAAACUUUUUGAUGGUUAUCUGUUCCAAAGAGGAAGAAGGGGAAAUGGCAAAUAGAACCUGGAUUUUGAACUUAGCCAACUUGUAUUCAAGUCCUAGUUCUUUCCUUUAUUAACCAUGUGAACUUAAGAAAGCUGGUCUGAGUCACCAAGAUAAAAAUUUCCUCCCUACACACCUAACAGAAACUUUGUGAGGAUCAAAUGGAAUC
rnacentral:lncRNA from 10 species